GCGGAAGUGGCGAAAUUGGUAGACGCACCAGAUUUAGGAUCUGGCACUCAAAAAGUAUGCGAGUUCGAGUCUCGCCUUCCGCA
rnacentral:tRNA from 1 species